rnacentral:rRNA from 1 species
GAUGAACGCUGGCGGCGUGCCUAAUACAUGCAAGUCGAGCGAACAGAUAAGGAGCUUGCUCCUUUGACGUUAGCGGCGGACGGGUGAGUGACACGUGGAUAACCUACCUAUAAGACUGGGAUAACUUCGGGAAACCGGAGCUAAUACCGGAUAACAUAUUGAACCGCAUGGUUCAAUAGUGAAAGGCGGCUUUGCUGUCACUUAUAGAUGGAUCCGCGCCGUAUUAGCUAGUUGGUAAGGUAACGGCUUACCAAGGCAACGAUACGUAGCCGACCUGAGAGGGUGAUCGGCCACACUGGAACUGGGACACGGUCCAGACUCCUACGGGAGGCAGCAGUAGGGAAUCUUCCGCAAUGGGCGAAAGCCUGACGGAGCAACGCCGCGUGAGUGAUGAAGGUCUUCGGAUCGUAAAACUCUGUUAUCAGGGAAGAACAAAUGUGUAAGUAACUGUGCACAUCUUGACGGUACCUGAUCAGAAAGCCACGGCUAACUACGUG